rnacentral:rRNA from 1 species
AACGAACGCUGGCGGCAUGCCUAACACAUGCAAGUCGAACGAGACCUUCGGGUCUAGUGGCGCACGGGUGCGUAACGCGUGGGAACCUGCCCUUAGGUUCGGAAUAACUCCCCGAAAGGGGUGCUAAUACCGGAUAAUGUCUUCGGACCAAAGAUUUAUCGCCUUUGGAUGGGCCCGCGUUGGAUUAGCUAGUUGGUAGGGUAAAAGCCUACCAAGGCGACGUUCCAUAGCUGGUCUGAGAGGAUGAUCAGCCACACUGGGACUGAGACACGGCCCAGACUCCUACGGGAGGCAGCAGUGGGGAAUAUUGGACAAUGGGCGAAAGCCUGAUCCAGCAAUGCCGCGUGAGUGAUGAAGGCCUUAGGGUUGUAAAGCUCUUUUACCCGAGAUGAUAAUGACAGUACCGGGAGAAUAAGCUCCGGCUAACUCCGUG